GAGGGAUUGGGAAUAUGUUGAACAUUAAAUUGUCUAAGUGUCAUCAAGGGGCACUAGGCGUAAUGAAUGUUGAAACUUCACAUUGUGACUUAAACUAGAUCUUCGGGAUGUUAGUGACUAUACCAUGUUAGAGACAUGAGGAUUGGAUACUUAAGAUUUGUACUAUGCUUGCUUGCCAUUUAUGCUCAUUCGCACAUGCUUGUGAGGGUCGCUCCCCACAAGCCGGCACUCCGGAGUUAGCCUACGCGACUUAUAUUCGCUCGUGCGGUAUCGAGAGACCUACGGGGUCGGGAGGGAUAGACUCAUUCCUAGAGUGGGAAUGCUGGAGCUACCACCGACACUUAGGCGGCAUAAGCUGGACUACAAUAAGUGGAUCCUAAAACACAAUUGAACAAUGACAUUGAACCGGGAAUGGAUAAUAACUACUAGAUGGGGUUAGUAAUUGGAUUACUUUGACAUGCUCAUGAUAUAGCAUUGGAACACAUAGUAUACUUGCUUGUUUCAUUCAUUGCAUCGUAGUAUACUCGGUUGCUUGAUAGAGCUUAUUCCUUAUGUGUCGACAUAUUGGACCAUGAUAGUUACUUGUUGUCAUUGGACAUUUGUUCUUGUGAUAGAGUAGAUGUACAUCAUACUUACAUCAUGUUUACUUGAGAUAUAGUAAUUUAGCAUUUCAAUUAUGCUUUCAUAUCGCGGUUAUUAUUAUUCUUAUUAUUGCUUUUGGACUUACCCUUUUCUUUUGGGGCCUAGUGGUGCAUAGAGCUGAGGUCAGUAAUUGCCCACUGGGAACUAUAAAUUAUAGUUCUCACGCCCUCUAUUUUAUAUUUUCUUUCAGAGCCUCCCACGCCGGGAGAGGCUAGGGAUCGAGGAAAGGGCAUGACUUCGAGCUAGCUCUUCAGCGAGUGACGAGUUGCUAGGUGGUCUACCUCUCGAUGUUUUUAUUUUGGAGAGGUUGAGAGCUGUACCAGUGUACUAGAGACCACCCCUUUUGUGUACUAUUUUGGACAGAUAUUGUAUAACUUUAUGUUUCACCUUUAUUGUUAGUGUAUUUCCUUUUACCUUGUUAUAGAUGAUAGAAUUGUACUGCUCUGAUAUCACUAGUUGUUGCUCUUUCCCUUUUGUUAUAUCUCUUGCUUACUUCCGCUGUUAUCCUAGACGCCUUAUAUGUGUAGACAUAUGGCGGGUCAGGGCGCGCUACCGGGAGGGCCUCUGCCGGUCCUGGGGCGUGACAUGGUGAGUUUCACUUAACCCCCCAAACUUCUAAAAUAGACAUCUAAUACCCUAAACUCUAAUAUUUCAUUCGUUUUUCCCCUUCCGUCAGUUU
rnacentral:lncRNA from 1 species